UACGUAGGGGGCAAGCGUUGUCCGGAAUCAUUGGGCGUAAAGCGCGUGUAGGCGGCUCGAUAAGUCUGCUGUGAAAGUCCAGGGCUCAACCCUGGGAUGCCGGUGGAUACUGUCGAGCUCGAGUCCGGAAGAGGCGAGUGGAAUUCCUGGUGUAGCGGUGAAAUGCGCAGAUAUCAGGAGGAACACCAAUGGCGAAGGCAGCUCGCUGGGACGUGACUGACGCUGAGACGCGAAAGCGUGGGGAGCAAACAGGAUUGA
rnacentral:rRNA from 1 species